rnacentral:antisense_RNA from 1 species
GUCUCGGCAGCGGUGGCCGUAGCUCCAUCGCAUUUUAUGUUUCUGGCGAGAAGGGAACGGAGUUUUCAUCAGGUAGAUUGGUUUUUGUGCGGCCGUCCUCCACCGUUUCCUCCAGGACAGCACCUAGUCGUGGCCGGAGGAGUCUCAGAGCUGUCAGAAAGAAUAAGACUGAUUUUAUGGGAAAAUUAAGCAAAUGCUCCAGUUUGAGAAACCUGGAUCUGCGAUCUGUUUGUGGUACCAGCAUCAAGAUGAUUUAUGGUAAUAAGGUACUCAGUCUUUGCUUAAAAUAAAUUUUACGUUUAUCAAAGUAAAAUUUACCAGCUUUUUUUCCUAAAGAGGCUAGUCAUAUCUCAUCAGUGGUUACAAAGUAUCCUUACAAUUGAACCUCCAUUUGUUAAUCCUGUUCAGUGUGUAUGAAAAUCACUUGGUGGCCGGGCAUGGUGGCUCACGCCUGUAAUCCCAGCACUUUGGGAGGCCGAGGCGGGCAGAUCACAAGGUCAGGAGUUCGAGACCAGCCUGGCUAAUAUAGUGAAACCCCAUUUCUACUAAAAAUGCAAACAUUAGUCAGGCGUGGUGGCAGGUGCCUGUAGUCCCAGCUACUUGG